GAACAUGAGAGUUUGAUCCUGGCUCAGGAUGAACGCUGGCGGCGUGCUUAACACAUGCAAGUCGAACGGAAGUUUCUCGCUGAAGCGAGCUUGCUCAAUUCUUGAG
rnacentral:rRNA from 1 species